AACGAACGCUGGCGGCAUGCCUAACACAUGCAAGUCGAACGAGACCUUCGGGUCUAGUGGCGCACGGGUGCGUAACGCGUGGGAAUCUGCCCUUGGGUUCGGAAUAACAGUGAGAAAUUACUGCUAAUACCGGAUGAUGUCUUCGGACCAAAGAUUUAUCGCCCAGGGAUGAGCCCGCGUAGGAUUAGGUAGUUGGUGGGGUAAUGGCCUACCAAGCCGACGAUCCUUAGCUGGUCUGAGAGGAUGAUCAGCCACACUGGGACUGAGACACGGCCCAGACUCCUACGGGAGGCAGCAGUGGGGAAUAUUGGACAAUGGGCGAAAGCCUGAUCCAGCAAUGCCGCGUGAGUGAUGAAGGCCUUAGGGUUGUAAAGCUCUUUUACCAGGGAUGAUAACGACAGUACCUGGAGAAUAAGCUCCGGCUAACUCCGUGCCAGCCGCCGCAGUAAAAC
rnacentral:rRNA from 1 species